AUCUUCCGUUAGUCCUGUCGCAGAUGACUUUCGCCCUUCUCAUUCCAGCCCCCUUUUCUCUAAAUCUAAUUAAUUUGAUUUCAAUGUGGUAGGACGAGAGUCAUCUGUGACAGGAUAAUGCAAGAU
rnacentral:pre_miRNA from 1 species